rnacentral:misc_RNA from 1 species
AGUAUAUGUUUCUAUCUAAUUUGCUGCGGUCCCUUUCACCUUUAGCUAUCUUCUAUCUAUUUUUGGAAUCUUUCACUUCAUCUAUUCACUUUACUAAAAAAGAAAAGGGAAGACAAAUCUAUUUCAGUCUGACAGCCUUUUAGUUCUUUGAUUCAGAAGAGUAGAACUGAAAUUAAAUUUAGGAACAGAGAAUUAUAAGCAAAAAAGGCAAACAAUUUGUUCAAUUUACUCAUUGAUUGCCUUGUGACUAUUGUAUGCGCAUGAUAUUGAUCUGCCACCUCUUUGUGUUUUAUUUAAUUACAUCUUAAAAUAUCUUAGUACUAG